rnacentral:lncRNA from 1 species
UUUUUUUUUUUUUGUUGUUGUUGCUAACCAGCUCCCACACAUUAUCUGCUCUAAAACAAGUUCAGCGGGGGGGGGGGGGGGGGGGGGAGGGAUCUAAUUUUUCCUUCCACCACUUUUUUGGGAUGCAAAAACUAGAUGUCAAACUAGACGUCUUUUUAAUAUACUCCAGAAACAAUGAGAUAUUUGGGUAACAAAGAAACAUUAUAUAGAUUGGAGUCCUCAAGUGAAACAGCAAAAUCAGAAUUUACACAAGCAGGGGAAAAGUGCACUGAAAUUAGUUUUCUUGACAGAAACCUUCCCACUUUUCAUAAAUCAACCACAUAAUUUUGUAUGAAGGGUCGCUCCCAUAAUUCGUUUUCCUACCAAGGUUUUUAUGAGGUUGAAGCAGUACCACUCAUGUGGAAAGCACAAAGUACAUUUUUCUAAAUUACUAUUCUUUGUAUAAAAGUCACAAAAAAACCCCAAACCAAUCUGGAUAAAGCAAAUAACUUUGCUCUACUCAGAGUACAAGAUGGGAUGUGAGAAACUUAGAGUUAUGGUAACCAAGCACAUAAGAACAAUUAAUGUGUCAUGCUUUUAUCUUCUACACAAAAGCCCGGGAACUAACGUUGAUCGAGAUGAGAACACGCUGUUCUUCCCAGCUUUUCCUGUUGCGCUCUCUCGUCUGUGAGCUUCUUCCAUCUUUCCUAUAGAUGUGGUCAUCCCUGCUUAGCAACCAACGGGACCCGACAGCACAGAGGAAAAUCCUCCGUCUAGAUCUCACCCUACUCCACAUCUCACCCUGCUCCACCUCCACGGCUGCAGACUCUCUUUCACUGCGAAUUAAGAACUCGUUUGCUUUGUUGCCUCAGAGAUACAAAGAGGGACCUCAGACCUAGCUUCGUGGGAGAUUAUGUUUUCCUGGGUGGGUGUAUGGGGAGAACUGAACGAGCUGGAGACUAGGAGAACCUGGGGCUUGCCAGGAAAGCAGCUCCCCAACAGCUAAUGCCAGUUUUAAAACAAGCAAGCAAGCAAACAAACCAAACAAACCAAACUAAAACAAACACGAAACAAAACAAACACAAAACAAACAACCUAAGCAAACAAAAUAAACCAAACAGGUGCCACACAUCGAUGCAGCGAUGGGGAAGAGAAAAGCCCCAGAAAGACAAGGGAUUAAACCGAACACAUUACCUACUUUUACUCAGUGCUCCAGCCGCCCUCCGAGGCGAGGAGGGGUCGGAGGGACCCGCAAGCGGCAGCUGAGAGCAAGUCCAGGCACAACCCCGCGAACAAGACGGAGGAAA